rnacentral:rRNA from 1 species
AUUGAACGCUGGCGGCAGGCUUAACACAUGCAAGUCGAGCGAGCGGCGGACGGGUGAGUAAUGUCUGGGAAACUGCCUGAUGGACGGGGAUAACUACUGGAAACGGUAGCUAAUACCGCAUACCCUCAGAUGUGCCCAGAGGGGAUUAGCUAGUCGGUGGGGUAAUGGCUCACCUAGGCGACGAUCCCUAGCUGGUCUGAGAGGAUGACCGGCCACACUGGAACUGAGACACGGUCCAGACUCCUACGGGAGGCAGCAGUAGGGAAUAUUGCACAAUGGGCGCAAGCCUGAUGGAGCCAUGCCGCGUGAGUGAAGAAGGCCUUCGGGUUGUAAAGCACUUUCAGCGAGGAGGCGUUACUCGCAGAAGAAGCACCGGCUAACUCCGUGCCAGCAGCCGCGGUAAUAC